rnacentral:rRNA from 1 species
CAGCUAGUUGGUGGAGUAAAAGUCUACCAAGGCGACGAUCGGUAGCUGGUCUGAGAGGAUGAUCAGCCACACUGGGAUUGAGAACGGCCCAGACUCCUACGGGGGGCAGCAGUGAGGAAUUUUCGUCAAUGGGGGCAACCCUGAACGAGCAACGCCGCGUGCAGGAAGACACUUUUCGGAGCGUAAACUGCUUUUCUCGGGGACGAGUAAGGACGGUACCCGAGGAAUCAGCCCCGGCUAACUACGUGCCAGCAGCCGCGGUAAUACGUAGGGGGCGAGCGUUGUCCGGAGUUACUGGGCGUAAAGCGCGCGCAGGCGGUCGUGUAAGUUUGGAGUGACAAUCCUCGGCUUAACUGAUGAGGGCCUUUGAAGACUGCACGACUUGAGGGCUCAC